UCCCCUCCCGUCCCAAAGCCCCAAUCGCCUCCCAGCCUCGAACCCCGCGUCGCCGCGACCUCCAUCCCCCCCGCGGUCCGCCUCAUCUCCUCUCCCUCUAAUCUCGUCGCGCCGCCGCCUUUUCCUCUCUCCAUCCCCGUCCCUGCCACGAGCCCCUCCCCUUCCCCGUCCCGACGGCCUCAUCCUCUGCUGCUCUCCUUGUUGGGUGUUGCUCCAGAUCGCGGGAGACGAUCUGCAGCCGGGUCUGCGCAGUUGAGGUGAGGAACGGAAGUGGGGGAAGGAGUAGCGACGCUGGUGUCAGGGGACGGAGGUGAGGGAAGGAGCAGCAAGGGGCCACCUCAUGCCCCGUAGUCCGCUCCUCCUUGUCAGCGCCAUCGCAACUCCAGCAACGACAGUUCAUCUCCAUGGUCCUCCUCCUCCUGUUUCUUUCCUUCCACACUAAUCAGCUCAUUUUUCUUGUUCAUACCUGUAGCCUGUAGGCCAUACAUGCCCAUUUUUCUUCUCUGUACUUUUUCUUGUUUAUACCUGUAGAAAAAAUUGUGGCAGUGAUGAUUGAUCUAAGUUACCUCUGGAGAUGUAGGUAGUAGUCUUCUCUGCACUCUCAUGUUUCAUAAUUUACCCCCUUGGACACUCUCACCGAUGGUUCUAGAUGCUAUUUGCCUGAUGAAUUGGUUCGCAUAUAAUGUUUAACAAGAUGCAUCUUCUCCCCUGCUUUUUUUUGCUGCAGGACUUUAUUCCUUGCACUCUUGAGUCUUUUGAGAAGGAGAAAAUUAUUGUUGGGAGGCAAAAAGACUGAUGAUGAGUUCCUGAAACAGAGUGCAACAGUGAAGAACAAGAGGCCUUUUUUAUUGAUGAGUCGGUCGAAUAGACUGUAGAUGAUUGCCAAAAAGUGGUUAUCGAAGGAUUGGAGUCAAGCUUAGGAUCAGUCUAUCCUAUGGGCCUAUACUACAAUGUUUAUUUGGCUUGUUAGAAUACAUGUAGAAUGAGGUAUUUCUCUCGUUACUUAUUUUGCUAUAGAACCCUGUUGGUUGCAUUCUUGGGUGCUUCGGCAAGCAGCAAUUGCACAAGUUGAUUGUGGUUACUACUUUUGAUUAUAAUUUGCAAGCAGUCCUGUGAGGCCAUUGUGGCAUGUGCUUAGACUUCUAUUGAUGUGUAGUGCAUCAACCGACAUAGGAGAAAUCAGGUUCAUAGAUGGGUGCUUUAUGCUGGGGUGAAAGAGUUUUAGGCCGUUGAUUUCCCAAUGAAGGAGCUUCGAGACAAGCGCUGCAAUUAUGUAGUUUUGUAUAUGACAUAAUCUGUACGAACCCUCUCCUUGUUUCUUUUUGCUCUUGGUUUUGCCCCUGUUGAUUAAUGAUGCUACCAAUUAUUCUAGCUAUUUUCAUUGUACCAUGUGCCUAUGAGAUCUGCACAGACAGAAUUCGUGCUGAUUUAUUUAGUGGUGGCACAUAUGACAGCUACAACAGCCUGGUAAUUAGUCCUCAAAUAAGGUAGUUUCCCUCUUCCCUUUACAUAUCAUGGAUAUAUGUGGUGGUUCCUUGCCAUUGCUGAAGGGAGGACUCUAAAUGUAUUUUUGUGUUAUCCCUGAUUAUGUUAAUCAGGCCGUGUAUGUUCUGUUGGUCUAUUUUGAAUUUUCGUUUGUCAACUUUUACAGAAUUUCAAAGAUGUAAUUUUCUCUCAUGUAGUAGCCUCAUUUUUCAUAUAUAUACAAUAGUCUAUUUUCCUUUCUGCAAAUUAGACCAAUAGUCUAUUUUAGUCAACUUAAGGGUAUGUUGAAUAUGACAAUUAAUGAAGAUGGCCAUUCUUGCUGUCGAAAGUACAGAAUCUGACUCAUUUUAAAGUAGUACGUUCUCUUUAUGACAAGACUAAGCUUCUACUUUAGCAAGUGUUUUACUUCAACACAAAUUGCUGCAGGAAAGAAAGCAUUUUUUUGCAACAAAGCAAGCAUUAAACGAGCUGAAGUGUCUGGAGCAGAAGAGCUUGAAUUUUUUGCAAACGUAAAUUUAAGGUAUUUAAAUGGUGGAGAUUUGUGAAAUCUGCAGACCAUUGUAUAUGUCUCAACGUAGGCUCAACCCAGUUUCCAUAUUUUAAAGGAGGCUGCACCACCAAUACCUCCGACAGAACAGCUAGCAGCGACCACAACAGUCCACAGAAGCAUCACUAGCUGUGACCCUCGAUAUACCUGAUGCCCUCUAUGCCUCUCCAUCCCUUUCGGCUGCUUGGUUGCGAGAAAGUACAUUCUCUGCCUUCAUUCACGUAUGUUGCUGACAAGGAUCGGAAAUCUCUGUUCCCCUCGAGGACUGAAAAUUGUCGAAACAGUCAAUUAUAUGGUGUUGAAUUAUUGAAUACUACCAAUUUAUUUGUUAAUGGCCAGUAGAAAAAGGAAGGCAACUUAUUUUUCAAAACUGAUGAGCAAUGAGUGCACUCUACAAGAUUUUCAUGGCAACAAACAUGAUAGACAUCUUGGAUCGGGCCCUUCUUAGACGACUCAUGAUAAGGUGCAUUAAUUAUGGAUGCCGUGCAAUCAGCAGCCUAAUACAAGGAGGACCCCAUGAAGCAAAGGGGAGAGGACAAUGAUAUGCUCACAUGGGAUCCCUUUCCUUCAGUGUAUUAAACGACAGUAUUCGUGGAGGACAUCAACAUUAGUAUGGUCUAUGACGAGGGAUCCCCAGGAUCAACAUCGUCAAGGACAAGAACGCCUGAUGAUAAUGACUACCUGAUAGUGAUUCCUUAUGCCCACAUAUUUGACCUUAUGCUAAAAGCUUUAAAGUUGCCCCCUGCAACUUACCAUCACAAGAUAUGCUCAGGCGGCGAGAAUCAUGUGACAGUUACUUUCAUUUCUUCCUUGCAAUUACUAGAUGGUUUGCUUGUUCCAAGCUCAAUAUCGGGUGCAAUUUUAGAUGGCUAUGAAGAUGCAGAAGACAGUGCUGCUAUCGAAGCUAUUAGAUACAUGGAAAAUGCAUAUGGCAGAGAAAUGAGAGACUACCACUACACCCAUGUCAAGAGGCUAGAAAAUCAAGUGAAGCACCUGGUCACAUGGUUGGUUGGUUGCAGCGAAUGAGACAAUCAAGCUGCGCAAAGGAUGCUACCACGCUGUCCGGUAUAUGAGCUCAUAUUCUACCCAAAUACAAAACACAACGACUACUCGGCACCUGAGAGGACAUGAUAACACCAGGGGGGUUAUGAAAGCAGCACUUGCAAGCAUUGAAAAACGGACACAAAGGCUACGUUAUAUUGUUAUGAAGUCCGAGCAGCGCCUGGAGACCACAAGAAAUAGUGUCUGGUAAAUUAAAUCAAUGUGUCAUAACCAGCACGCUUCUGUGGUUACUAAAACAGCCACCUUUUAUUUCGUAUCGAUCAAACCAGCACCUUUCCCAUUUUGGAGUACUCUGAGCAAGAUAUGUAUAGCCUUUAGUCUUCCAUUGCUGCCUCUAUGGUGAAAAGUAGUGAAUGGUGCAGUCUAUAAACUUUAGAUUUCGUUAUCUCUGUGGUCAAGAGCAGUUUAUCAUCACUUAUUAUAUAUGUAUAGGAUUGCUAUUCUACUGUUAUUUCCAGAACACUAUAAUUAAAGAAACAACCUCUCCUUCUAUGCA